rnacentral:rRNA from 1 species
UCCUCUCGAGAGAAUGAGAGGUAGGACCUGCCCAAUGCUUCAAGAGUCAAUGGCCGCAGAAUCUUGACUGUGCUAAGGUAGCGUAAUCAGUUGGCCUUUAAUUGGGGUCUAGGAUAAACGGUCUGACAAGGUUCAAACUUUCUUUGGAGAACCAAGAGAAUUUGAUUUUUUGGUUAAAAAGCCAAAGUGAAAGAGGGGGACGAGAAGACCCUACAGAUCUUUAGAGCCUAUCUUUAGAAAUUAAAGGAAAGCUCUUUGUUUGGGAGGAAACUUGAAAUAAACUAAACUUUAGUUAAACUAACGAACAAACUCGUCUAGAAAUCUGAUCCUCUGAGAGAGAGAAAAGAGGACAAAGUUACCUUAGGGAUAACAGAGUUAUUUAUUCACUGAGAUCGUAUUGGUGAAUGAGUUUACCACCUCGAUGUUGAAUUAAACUUUCACUCUGAAGGAGAAAGCAGAGCAGUUGGUUUGUUCAACCACUAACAGU